rnacentral:sRNA from 1 species
CUUGACUCUGUUUUUCGGAUUUUCCCUCCUCCUCACAUCGCAAAUGUCCUAGCCCUUGUCCUAACCAGUUCCAGACUGGUUUUCCUCGUCAUCCCCUCGAACGCCGCCGGUCCCAUCUUCUUCCUCCAUCUUCGCAUCUCGUCCGCCGUCUCCCUGCUCAUUAUUCCACCGGUCGACAUCACCACCGCUUUGAACAUCCCAAAGAGAGACACCGGUUUAGGACGUGGUUGGCAACAGAGGUGGAAGCUGGUUUGGUGCUCAGCGUGCUCCUGGCAUCCCGAUCAUUGAGGCAGUAUAGACCUUGAGGUCGUAAUCGGUUGCGUGGAGGCCACACCUGCCCCUCACCCUCAAGUCGUUCCGCCUCUGCCCCUCAAGAGUUCUCCAGCUGAAUUAAGCGCCCAGAAAUCAAAGACGUUUAUUUUACUAUAGCAGUACUAUAAAAACGCGAAUCUUCUGCAAGUUCAACGACGUGUCUUGGGGUCAAGAGGGUGCCUCGCCCAGCAUGAUUUUUUUGACCAAUUCCUCUUCCUGUACGAUAGAGAGGUGUCGAGGGGCCGAGGCCGUAUGGGACGAGUGUACGCCGGUGUGACGGUCGUAGAGGGAUGAUUUUGAGACCCCGUAUAAAUCUGCGACUUUCUGAUGGCUUUCAAGGGGGUUGUUUAUCUUGUGCUCAAGUGCGAGGGUCAUAGAAUCAGCCAUUGUGGAGAUAUAGAUGUAAAUACAUGGUGAUAUACAGUAGAGUGAUAUGUCCGAGAUUGCCGUGUCGUCCGAGAAUCACGUGAGUUACGAGUAUAAUAGCUGCUGGUUAGUUGCUAGUGAACAAAAAGGUCCGCUCCUCAUAUGUCGCAACGUGAUUCCAGCAGCGACAUUCACCACCAACAACUCACUGUCCCCCUUUAUUUUGAGACGCACCCAGACAUGACGAAGAUUCAUGAGCCUUGGAUACUGGGCGGUGAGUCGAGGGAUGUAUAGGAAAUUUAUUCCCUUUGUGGAAGGACUAAAAUGAUCAGUAGGUUCUAGGUUACUAAUACAGUACAAUCGUUGUCGAAGACGCAGCAGCGUAUAUAGGUUCAAAAAAUGCUGAGGAACGAUCUCAGACGGCCGCUGAGGUCUC